GGUGGCGAAGGCGGCCCCCUGGACAGAUACUGACACUCAGAUGCGAAAGCGUGGGGAGCAAACAGGAUUAGAUACCCUGGUAGUCCACGCCGUAAACGAUGUCUACUUGGAGGUUGUGCCCUAGAGGUGUGGCUUUCGGAGCUAACGCGUUAAGUAGACCGCCUGGGGAGUACGGUCGCAAGAUUAAAACUCAAAUGAAUUGACGGGGGCCCGCACAAGCGGUGGAGCAUGUGGUUUAAUUCGAUGCAACGCGAA
rnacentral:rRNA from 1 species